rnacentral:tRNA from 1 species
CGGCCCGUAGCUCAGCGGCAGAGCACCCGGCUGUAGUCAGCCCCACGGGGGACAAUUCACUAAAUCCCCGUGGCCGGAAACCGGGGGGUCCCGGGUUCAAAUCCCGGCGGGCCGA